AUGUAUCAAUUCGUUUAAUUCUCAAAACUCUGUGAGACAAGAACUGUUACUGUAUCCUUUUUUUUUUCCCCCUAGAUGAAGAAACAGAAGCACAGAAAGGUUGAGUGAUUUUCCUAAUAUCACACAGCCAGAAAAUGGAGCUAGAACUUGAACUCAGCAGUCUGGCCUUAGAAUCUCUGCAGUCAAACACUAUAUUCUUCAUAUUAAGGGUGAAAGUACCAAGAACUACAUAAUGAAUUGUAAAAAAGAAUAUGGUGGAGGAUUAUGAUGUGUUGUGCUUCCGGAGACUAAAUCUCAGCGUCAACUCCUAUGGAUGUAAGGUGGAUAAUAGAGAGAGAAGGCCAUCAGAAACAGCUUGUUAAAUGAGGACUCAAACUCUAAUGACCAUUCCACUGAAAUCUUUCGACAUCAUCUAUGCUGACUGCAGUCUGAUGAGAGGGGAGGGCAUUGACAAGGUGUUUGUAGUGGCAACCGGGACUGUUGAGGUGCUAAUGUGGACAUCUGAGAAGCCAAAGAAGACAUGCUGAUAGUCCUACAGCCAGCAUCUGCCACAGAGACAGCCCAGCCUGCAGCCAACUCCUGCUCCAGCUACCACACCAACCAGUUCACUUAAGUUCAGGAAAAUCUGUGAGUACAGGAUAAAUCAGUACAGAUAAAUCUGUAGUCACAGGGAUGGGGUGGGAGCUGCUCCAGCCAUGGGUCCACAGCAGUGAAUUGGGGCCCUUCUUACCUCUGUGCCAACCUAUCCAUUGAUCCCCA
rnacentral:lncRNA from 1 species